AGUGAACGCUGGCGGUAGGCCUAACACAUGCAAGUCGAACGGCAGCACAGUAAGAGCUUGCUCUUACGGGUGGCGAGUGGCGGACGGGUGAGGAAUACAUCGGAAUCUACUUUUUCGUUGGGGAUAACGUAGGGAAACUUACUCUAAUACCGCAUACGACCUACGGUUGAAAGCAGGGGAUCUUCGUACCUUGCGCGAUUGAAUGAGCCGAUGUCGGAUUAGCUAGUUGGCGGGGUAAAGGCCCACCAAGGCGACGAUCCGUAGCUGGUCUGAGAGGAUGAUCAGCCACACUGGAACUGAGACACGGUCCAGACUCCUACGGGAGGCAGCAGUGGGGAAUAUUGGACAAUGGGCGAAAGCCUGAUCCAGCCAUACCGCGUGGGUGAAGAAGGCCUUCGGGUUGUAAAGCCCUUUUGUUGGGAAAGAAAAGCAGCAGGUUAAUACCCCGCUGUUCUGACGGUACCAAAAGAAUAAGAACCGGCUAACUUCGUG
rnacentral:rRNA from 1 species